GGGGCUGUAGCUCAGCUGGGAGAGCGCUUGACUGGCAGUCAAGAGGUCGGGGGUUCGAGUCCCCUCAGCUCCACCA
rnacentral:tRNA from 1 species